rnacentral:lncRNA from 14 species
AGGAGCCACACUGAACCUUCUGGCUCCAGAUUCAGAGUCACUAGCCCCUUCUUUACACCUUCAAGAAGUGCAAAAUGUGCACUUGGGAAGCUCAGGAAUGCCUCAAGGUCUGUGUGUCUGGUGUGGGCCUACGUGGAAUAUCUCCAUCUCUGAGGAAGACGCCUCUAUCGAUGGAGCGUUGGCAUCCCAGAGGAGGGCACCGCUCUGCUCAUGGUUUAUCUCUUGGACCACAAGUGCUGGAUGAGAGGGGAUGAAGACAUAAAGCCAUGGCACAGUGAGAUGAUGAUCUUCAGGCUUGAUACACAACUUUAGCAAUAAAAGGAAGUGUCUGAUGGCUGGGGAAGCA